GGGGCGGUAGGCGAAUGGUAGAGCCGCCGGCCUUUCAAGCCGGAGUCUGUGGGUUCAAGUCCCAUCCGCCCUG
rnacentral:tRNA from 2 species